CAGAAGGUGGCAACACUGGCAGACUCGACGUGAUUCCACGUAAGCAAGUGAAGUUGUUUCGCAAUAAUGCCGCGUUCAAAACUGGAAGCUCGGAACUGGUAACUCGGAAAUCUUUGACCUCCAACUUCAGUGCGUUUAAAACAACUGGGAACUCGGUAAAAACGAGCUCCUACUGGGAAAAACGAUUUGACCGGUCAUCCAACGCAGAAUUCCAACUCGGGAACUCCGGCCUCUUUCUAGAGCUCUGACUUUCCGACCUGAAGAUCACCGAGGUCAUGAUUUGAUCUAGUAUUUCUCUGAGUUCCCAGUUGUUUUGAACGCGGCAUAACCUUGUUAAACGACGCGUCACUAUCAUGGUUGGUGGAAUAUUUUACGGAAUACAAUACACUGGAAUUCGCUUUCCAUUCCAUUGAAACGUUGCACGAGAAAACGGGUGGGACUGGGAAUGGAUCACGUGAAGCACACAGGCUCAUGCCAUUGUGGGGCUAUCAGAUUCGAAAUCUGGAAUUCCCCAGACCUUCUUGUUUUCGAUUGCGAGGUUGGGAUCAUCUGACCACAUAUACAUUCAAUACACACGCUGCCAAGCACACAUUCUGUAGGAUCUGUGGAGUCCAGAGUUUCUACACCCCACGCUCCAAUCCUGAUGGAUAUGGCAUAGCUCCUCACUGUCUGGACCCAGGUACUGUACGCAGUGUGACAGUGGAGAAGUUCUGUGGAAAGAAGUGGGAGGAGAGCAUGCAGAACCACCAGACUAUCAAAGGCAUGUCCAAGCCAUAGGUCCAAGCCUGUAGCAGACACACACAGCUGAGAUAGAAACAAACAGGCCCCUAUUGUAUUACUGAGCCAACUGUUUCUUAAAACAAAUCAACUUUCCCCAAAAAAUCUGAAAUAAAAAGACCAAACCUAGUACUCUGUUUGGUCACAACCAAUCUCUAAGCGUCUGUGUAUUUCUUUCUGCAAGUUCACAAUUCAUUUCAAGUGUUCAUUAUGCAAAAUAUUUGUAUUAUUGGUACUCUUUGAUAGAGGCAGUGAAACCACAGUAGUUGAAUGGGCCUACGGUGACAAGAGCAUGGCCCUCUGGUGACAAGAAUGAAGAGAAGAGUUUCAAUAUUUUGGGAAAGCAUGAUUCAGCAUGGUGAGAGUGGAGUCGGACAUGGUUCCAGCAGAAGUUGGCAAUGUAAUGCAGAGCCAUAUUUAGAGCCAUCUCAUAUUGCUCACAGGCAAUAAGGGACUUUCUCUCGCAAUAUCAACCGACAAACUACAGUAGUGCUUGAGGGAUUUUAACUUGCUGACAUUCCUGAUCAUCGAUUUCAAAAAUAUUUAAUGGAAUACACUGGAAUUCGUUUUCAAUUUGAUUAAACGUUGCAAUGGAAAAACGGGUGGGACGAGUGAAGCACACAGGCGGAUGCCAUUGUGGGGCUGUCAGAUUCGAAGUCUGGAGUUCCCCAGACCUUCUGGUUUUUGACUGCGACUGUAGCAUCUGCACCAAGAAGCAAAACCAUCAUUUCAUUGUGCCAGAAAAUCAGUUUACGCUUUUACAGGGUUUGGAGAAUAUUAACACAUAUACAUUUAAUACACACAUUGGCAAGCACACAUUUUGUAGUACCUGUGGAGUCCAGAGUUUCUUCACCCCACGUUCCAAUCCAGAUGGAUAUGGCAUAGCUCCUCACUGUUUGGACCCAGGUACUGUACGCAGUGUGACAGUAGAGAAGUUCUGUGGACAGAAGUAUGAGGAGACCAUGAAGAACCACCCGAAUAUCAGAGACUUGUCCAAGCCUGUAGCAGAAACACAUACAGUUGAAGUCGGAAGUUUACAUACACCUUAGCCAAAUACAUUUAAACUCAGUUUUUCACAAUUCCUGACAUUUAAUCCUAGUAAAAAUUCCCUGUUUUAAGUCAGUUAGGAUCACCACUUUAUUUUAAGAAUGUGAAAUGUCAGAAUAAUAGUAGAGAGAAUGAUUUAUUUCAGCUUUUAUUUCUUUCAUCACAUUCCGUGGGUCAGAAGUUUACAUACACUCAAUUAGUAUUUGGUAGCAUUGCCUU